rnacentral:rRNA from 1 species
CAGUAGCCACGGGAAUACGUAGGUGGCAAGCGUUGUCCGGAAUUAUUGGGCGUAAAGGGCUCGCAGGCGGUUUCUUAAGUCUGAUGUGAAAGCCCCCGGCUCAACCGGGGAGGGUCAUUGGAAACUGGGAAACUUGAGUGCAGAAGAGGAGAGUGGAAUUCCACGUGUAGCGGUGAAAUGCGUAGAGAUGUGGAGGAACACCAGUGGCGAAGGCGACUCUCUGGUCUGUAACUGACGCUGAGGAGCGAAAGCGUGGGGAGCGAACAGGAUUAGAUACCCCCGUAGUCCCUGUCUCUUAUAC